CCUACGGGAGGCUGCAGUGGGGAAUAUUGCGCAAUGGGCGAAAGCCUGACGCAGCGACGCCGCGUGAGGGAUGACGGUCUUCGGAGCGUAAAACUCUGUCAGCAGGGAAGAACGGUCACUGUGGUGAGCAGCAGUGAAUUGACGGUACCUGCAAAGGAAGCACCGGCUAACUCCGUGCCAGCAGCCGCGGUGAUACGGAGGGGGCGAGCGUUGAUCGGAUUUACUGGGCGUAAAGCGAUCGUAGGCGGGAUGUCAAGUCAAGGGUGAAAUCCCGGGGCUCAACCUUAGAACUGCCUUUGAUACUGGCAACCUUGAGUGUGUGAGAGGUUAGUGGAAUUCCUGGUGUAGGAGUGAAAUCCGUAGAUAUCUGGAAGAACAUCAAUUGCGAAGGCAGCUAUCUGGCCCGUCACUGACGCUGAGGCGCGAAAGUGUGGGUAGCAAACAGGAUUAGAUACCCGAGUAGUC
rnacentral:rRNA from 1 species